AUUGAGCGCUGGCGGCAUGCCUUACACAUGCAAGUCGAACGGCAGCACGGGUGCUUGCACCUGGUGGCGAGUGGCGAACGGGUGAGUAAUACAUCGGAACGUACCUUAUCGUGGGGGAUAACGCAGCGAAAGCUGUGCUAAUACCGCAUACGCCCUGAGGGGGAAAGCGGGGGAUCGAAAGACCUCGCGCGAUUAGAGCGGCCGAUGCCUGAUUAGCUUGUUGGUGGGGUAAAAGCCCACCAAGGCGACGAUCAGUAGCUGGUCUGAGAGGACGAUCAGCCACACUGGGACUGAGACACGGCCCAGACUCCUACGGGAGGCAGCAGUGGGGAAUUUUGGAAAAUGGGGGCGACCCUGAUCCAGCAAUGCCGCGUGAGUGAAGAAGGCCUUCGGGUUGUAAAGCUCUUUUGUCAGGGAAGAAACACCGGCUCUAACACAGUCCGGGAAUGCCGGUACCUGAAGAAUAAGCACCGGCUAACUACGUGCCAGCCGCCGCCGUAA
rnacentral:rRNA from 1 species